rnacentral:rRNA from 1 species
GAUGAACGCUGGCGGCGUGCCUAAUACAUGCAAGUCGAGCGAACAGACGAGGAGCUUGCUCCUUUGACGUUAGCGGCGGACGGGUGGGUAACACGUGGGUAACCUACCUAUAAGACUGGGAUAACUUCGGGAAACCGGAGCUAAUACCGGAUAAUAUUUCGAACCGCAUGGUUCGAUAGUGAAAGAUGGCUCUGCUAUCACUUAUAGAUGGACCUGCGCCGUAUUAGCUAGUUGGUAAGGUAACGGCUUACCAGGGCAACGAUACGUAGCCGACCUGAGAGGGUGAUCGGCCACACUGGAACUGAGACACGGUCCAGACUCCUACGGGAGGCAGCAGUAGGGAAUCUUCCGCAAUGGGCGAAAGCCUGACGGAGCAACGCCGCGUGAGUGAUGAAGGUCUUCGGAUCGUAAAACUCUGUUAUUAGGGGAGAACAAACGUGUAAGUAACUGUGCACGUCUUGACGGUACCUAAUCAGAAAGCCACGGCUAACUACGUGCCAGCAGCCGCCGUAAUAC